AUUGUACUCCCUCCAUCCCACAAUAUAAGACGUUUUUGCAAACUACUUGAACAUCUUGUAUAAAACAGCUUGCCAAAACAUCUUAUAUUAUGGGACGGAGGGAGCACU
rnacentral:pre_miRNA from 1 species